UAGGGAAUAUUGGGCAAUGGGCGAAAGCCUGACCCAGCCAUGCCGCGUGGAUGAUGAAGGCCUUCGGGUUGUAAAGUCCUUUUUUAAGGGAAGAACGUUCCGGGGAGGAAAUGCCCUGGAUUUGACGGUACCUUAAGAAUAAGCAACGGCUAACUCCGUGCCAGCAGCCGCGGUAAGACGGAGGUUGCGAGCGUUGUUCGGAAUUACUGGGCGUAAAGGGGGCGCAGGCGGUUUGGUCAGUCUGGGGUGAAAGCCCGGGGCUCAACCCCGGAAUUGCCUUGGAUACUGCCAAACUUGAGUUCGUGAGAGGAGAGCGGAAUUCCUGGUGUAGCGGUGAAAUGCGUAGAUAUCAGGAGGAACACCGAUGGCGAAAGCAGCUCUCUGGCACGUAACUGACGCUGAGGCCCGAAAGCGUGGGGAGCAAACA
rnacentral:rRNA from 1 species